rnacentral:rRNA from 1 species
AUUGAACGCUGGCGGCAGGCCUAACACAUGCAAGUCGAGCGAGCGGCGGACGGGGGAGUAAUGUCUGGGAAACUGCCCGAUGGAGGGGGAUAACAACUGGAAACGGUAGCUAAUACAGCAUACCAUCAGAUGUGCCCCGAUGGGAUUAGCUCGUGGGUGGGGUAACGGCUCACCUAGGCGACGAUCCCUAGCUGGUCUGUGAGGAUGACCAGCCACACUGGAACGGAGACACGGUCCAGACUCCUACGGGAGGCAGCAGUGGGGAAUUUUGCACAAUGGGCGAAAGCCUGAUGCAGCCAUGCCGCGUGUAUGAAGAAGGCCUUCGGGUUGUAAAGCACUUUCAGCAGGGAAGCGUUAUCCGCAGAAGAAGCACCGGCUAACUCCGUGCCAGCAGCCGCGGUAAUUC